rnacentral:lncRNA from 1 species
AUUUUCUCUGUGGUCUUUCCCAUUGGACGUUGUUUUUACUGACUUAACUAUCUUCACAGCUUGGGCCAUUGCCUUUCUUUAAACAGAUAUAAAAAUCCAACUCCAGCCCAUGCUUCAGGAGUCCCCCAGACUCAUCCUUCCUUCCAUGGUCCAGGGCGAGGAGGAGUGGAGGGCACACAUCUCCUGGGGGAAUCUGGCUUGCUCCAGUGGUGUGAGCCGUGUACUGGCCUGCCAAGUUUGAUGGGAAAGCUUAGAGACUGUUUCCACGUGCAAGUUUACAACACAAAGGAUUAGUUGCAGUGGUGGGAGGCCUUGUGGCCAGGUGAGGAUGGAUUCUGGUGGAGGCUUUUAAAUUCUUCAGAUGAAAUCCAGAGAUGUUCCCUCGGGG